rnacentral:rRNA from 1 species
GGACGGCGUAUCUUUUCAAAUGUCUGCCCUAUCAACUUUCGAUGGUAGGUGACAUGCCUACCAUGGUUGUAACGGGUAACGGAGAAUCAGGGUUCGGUUCCGGAGAGGGAGCCUGAGAAACGGCUACCACAUCCAAGGAAGGCAGCAGGCGCGCAAAUUACCCACUCCCGGCACGGGGAGGUAGUGACGAAAAAUAACAAUGCUGGGCUUCAAGUCCGGUAAUUGGAAUGAGUACACUUUAAAUCCUUUAACGAGGAUCUAGUGGAGGGCAAGUCUGGUGCCAGCAGCCGCGGUAAUUCCAGCUCCACGAGCAUGUACGUAAGUUGUUGCAGUUAAAAAGCUCGUAGUUGGAUCUCAGACUCGUGGCCAGUGGUCCGCUCGAUACGGGUGUGCACUGCUGUGCCCGGUCUACGUCUGGUCAAGUUCGUAGUGCCCUUAACUGGGUGCUGCGGAAUGCCAGAAGGUUUACUCUGAAAAAAUUAGAGUGCUCAAAGCAAGCUGUUAUGCUUGAAUACUGUUGCAUGGAAUAAUGGAAUAGGACCUCGGAUCUAUUUUGUUGGUUUUCGGAGUCGAGGUAAUGAUUAAAAGGGACGGACGGGGGCAUUCGUAUUGCGCCGUUAGAGGUGAAAUUCUUGGAUCGGCGCAAGACGAACAACUGCGAAAGCAUUUGCCAAGGAUGUUUUCAUUAAUCAAGAACGAAAGUCAGAGGUUCGAAGACGAUCAGAUACCGUCGUAGUUCUGACCAUAAACGAUGCCAACUGGCGAUCCGCCGUAGUCUGUUCUCAAGGACUCGGCGGGCAGCCUCCGGGAAACCUAAGUCUAUGGGUUCCGGGGGAAGUAUGGUUGCAAAGCUGAAACUUAAAGGAAUUGACGGAAGGGCACCACCAGAAGUGGAGCCUGCGGCUUAAUUUG